AGUCGCAUGGCUCAGUUGGUUAGAGUGUCCGCUUCACAUUUUAUGUAAGGGCGCGGAAGGUCGAGGGUUCGAAACCCUCUGUGGCUA